AUCAUAGCUUCGCUGUUGCCAAACGCAACGAAAGCUGCACUGAGCCUUAUCGAACUCGCGUAGUUUGGUGGCGAGAAGGGUGUAAUCCGUAGAUAAGCGAUCGCUGAAACCAAGGGGUGUGGCAGCGGCAGCCGACGCUCCGGCUAAUGCAUUCGCCGUUGGCACGGCAGAUGUGAAGGUAGUCGCAGUUCUGGGUCCUCUUGUUGUAGGGGCGGGUCCGAGCCUUGUUACAACGAGGCCAUGCUGGGAGCCAAGACGUGUCCGAGGAGCGACCAGGGCCGACGUCGUUGUACUGCAGGCUGCAUAGUGAUACCAAUGCCAGCAAGACGAAAAGGCGUCGCAGGAACGUGCCAGGCUCAACGUGGUCGUGAUGCAAGCAAACUGGCGCAUGAACCCCACACACAAGGUCAUCCUAGAUGCGACGGCCAUCAUUAGUGUCGUCGCCUUUGUGCUUUACUUGGGAGCGACGAUGUGGAUCCGCGUAAUUGAGAGAGGUGUUUUCCAUGCCAGCUCCCAGCGGACGCCUCACGCGGAGCAUGCCGAUCUACCGCUUUUUUCCGGAUGCGUAGAAGUGGCAUGCAACAAGUACAUGGCUGCCAUCGAGCGCUCGAUCAACCGAUCUCAAAACCCGUGCCAAA
rnacentral:misc_RNA from 1 species